rnacentral:rRNA from 1 species
UACGUAGGCAGCAAGCGUUGUUCGGAAUUACUGGGCGUAAAGAGUGUGUAGGCGGUGCUCUAAGUUUGGUGUGAAAUCUCCCGGCUCAACUGGGAGGGUGCAUCGAAAACUGGAGUGCUCGAGGGUGGGAGAGGUAAGCGGAAUUCCUGGUGUAGCGGUGAAAUGCGUAGAUAUCAGGAGGAACACCGGUGGCGAAGGCGGGUCUCUGGGCCGAUACUGACGCUGAGGAGCGAAAGCGUGGGGAGCGAACAGG